rnacentral:rRNA from 1 species
UUGAGAGUUUGAUCCUGGCUCAGGAUGAACGCUAGCUACAGGCUUAACACAUGCAAGUCGAGGGGCAGCGAGGUUGAAGCUUGCUUCAACCGUCGGCGACCGGCGCACGGGUGAGUAACACGUAUCCAACCUGCCUUCCACUCGGGAAUAGCCUUUCGAAAGAAAGAUUAAUGCCCGAUGGUACGGAAUUUUCGCAUGAGAGUUCCUUUAAAGAAUUUCGGUGGAAGAUGGGGAUGCGUUCCAUUAGGCAGUUGGCGGGGUAACGGCCCACCAAACCUACGAUGGAUAGGGGUUCUGAGAGGAAGGUCCCCCACAUUGGAACUGAGACACGGUCCAAACUCCUACGGGAGGCAGCAGUGAGGAAUAUUGGUCAAUGGACGAGAGUCUGAACCAGCCAAGUAGCGUGAAGGAUGACUGCCCUAUGGGUUGUAAACUUCUUUUAUACGGGAAUAAAGUGAGGCACGUGUGCCUUUUUGUAUGUACCGUAUGAAUAAGGAUCGGCUAACUCCGUGCCAGCAGCCGCGGUAACACGGAGGAUCCGAGCGUUAUCCGGAUUUAUUGGGUUUAAAGGGAGUGUAGGCGGAAUUUUAAGUCAGCUGUGAAAGUUUGCGGCUCAACCGUAAAAUUGCAGUUGAUACUGGAGUUCUUGAGUGCGGUAAAGGCAGGCGGAAUUCGUGGUGUAGCGGUGAAAUGCUUAGAUAUCACGAAGAACUCCUAUUGCGAAGGCAGCUUGCUGGACCGUAACUGACGCUGAUGCUCGAAAGUGCGGGUAUCAAACAGGAUUAGAUACCCUGGUAGUCCGCACAGUAAACGAUGAAUACUCGCUGUUGGCGAUAUACAGUCAGCGGCCAAGCGAAAGCAUUAAGUAUUCCACCUGGGGAGUACGCCGGCAACGGUGAAACUCAAAGGAAUUGACGGGGGCCCGCACAAGCGGAGGAACAUGUGGUUUAAUUCGAUGAUACGCGAGGAACCUUACCCGGGCUUGAAUUGCUUCUGAAUAAUCUGGAAACAGGUUAGCCGCAAGGCAGAAGUGAAGGUGCUGCAUGGUUGUCGUCAGCUCGUGCCGUGAGGUGUCGGCUUAAGUGCCAUAACGAGCGCAACCCUCAUCUCCAGUUGCCAUUCAGGUCAUGCUGGGAACUCUGGAGAGACUGCCGUCGUAAGAUGUGAGGAAGGUGGGGAUGACGUCAAAUCAGCACGGCCCUUACGUCCGGGGCUACACACGUGUUACAAUGGGAGGUACAGCAGGCAGCUACCUGGCGACAGGAUGCUAAUCCCGAAAGCCUCUCUCAGUUCGGACUGGAGUCUGCAACCCGACUCCACGAAGCUGGAUUCGCUAGUAAUCGCGCAUCAGCCACGGCGCGGUGAAUACGUUCCCGGGCCUUGUACACACCGCCCGUCAAGCCAUGAAAGCCGGGGGUACCUGAAGUACGUAACCGCAAGGAGCGUCCUAGGGUAAAACUGGUGAUUGGGGCUAAGUCGUAACAAGGUAGCCGUA